rnacentral:rRNA from 1 species
GUCGUAACAAGGUCUCCGUAGGUGAACCUGCGGAGGGAUCAUUACACAAAUAUGAAGGCGGGCUGGAACCUCUCGGGGUUACAGCCUUGCUGAAUUAUUCACCCUUGUCUUUUGCGUACUUCUUGUUUCCUUGGUGGGUUCGCCCACCACUAGGACAAACAUAAACCUUUUGUAAUUGCAAUCAGCGUCAGUAACAAAUUAAUAAUUACAACUUUCAACAACGGAUCUCUUGGUUCUGGCAUCGAUGAAGAACGCAGCGAAAUGCGAUAAGUAGUGUGAAUUGCAGAAUUCAGUGAAUCAUCGAAUCUUUGAACGCACAUUGCGCCCUUCGGUAUUCCAAAGGGCAUGCCUGUUCGAGCGUCAUUUGUACCCUCAAGCUUUGCUUGGUGUUGGGCGUCUUGUCUCUAGCUUUGCUGGAGACUCGCCUUAAAGUAAUUGGCAGCCGGCCUACUGGUUUCGGAGCGCAGCACAAGUCGCACUCUCUAUCAGCAAAGGUCUAGCAUCCAUUAAGCCUUUUUUUCAACUUUUGACCUCGGAUCAGGUAGGGAUACCCGCUGAACUUAAGCA